AUCAACUGAAAGAUCACUUUCAGUCGCAGCCGUGUCGCUGUUGCGUGUACUUAGGCUGUCCCGGCAACAACCGCCAGUUUGGAGAGCCGCGGUGUGGUAAAUGUUUGGAAGGUGAAGGAAGCACGGAGCGGUCCGAGAUAGCCAGACUUGUAAAAUGGGCUAAGGAACUGAAGUUGGGUCUUGAAGAAACACCAUCAGUGUGUGCUCUGCAAGCAAUGCAGCGGAUGAUGAGCGUGGUGAACGGAUAGAUGUGAUUAUAGACAGCGAGGAAGAAGAAAAACAGAGAGUAGUGGGAAGAUCUAUGUUGAGGAAGAAUGGCGUCAGGCAUGAUAAAGAACGAUCUGGACCAGUAGGAGUGACCAGUAGGAUGAUCCACUUGUGGUUUCAGCAUGGGUGAGAAAGGAGUUGGGGGCAUUUGAAUCAGUGAAGGUAAUGUUAGGAUUUAUGUGCACUAUAGCCCGCUACCAUAUUGUUUGAAGAUGAAUAUUGUUUUGUUACACACACACACACAAACAAUGCAGAUGUGUGUAUGUGUGUAAAGACUGAGCAACAUGGAGUGACAGGCUAUAAAAGCUGUGGUCAAUCUGGAGAGGGGAGGGGUGCAUAUCUCCAGGCCAACCAGGGAGGGUAGAGCACUGGACAAUACCAUAUUAGGAACUGUUUGAGUGUAGGAUCUGGGGGGAGACACAAGACGGAUCUAAUCUACGCAACGACCAGAUGCGGACAGAUGAGAGCACCAAGGGACUGGGACCAGUCUGAGUGCCAGCGAUAGGCUGAGCAAAGUUUAAACCGCGCUCAGCCUCUACUGUGAUAGGCCAACGGACGGGUUGGAACUAAAGGUGUCAUAGUAUAAAAACUGUUGUUUGAGCACAUUCCAGAGUUCUCUGUUUUACCCUGCGCGGUGAUAUAGCGAACCCGUAUAUAUGAAAAUUGCCAUUUAUUGCUUGCGCUAAUUAAACAUAAUUAAAGAAAGUUAGCAGACCUCGCUUUUUAUUUAUCCUGAUACCGGAUUCGAAUAACGCAGCGCUCACAGUAACCUGUAGUGGAUUUGUGAUAUUUGUUUGUGUUUCUUCUGACCAGAGGGAGCCAGCGCUCCAUGUCACGCACAUUGGGUCAAGAUCUGUUUCUUGAUUAGCUCUUAGGAACAGGGCACCAUUUUAAAGGAAUGAUUUCUGGGGUAGCAUUAAGUGUGGAGGUGGAGCAAUUGAAGUUGAAAAUUCCUGGUGUUUGUGACGCCCGCUGGUUGGUGCGACGUAGAACCGGUGGGGAGCGAGGUGAAACAGAGGAUUCACUGUCAGUCCUUUUGAGUUGAGUCUCUACCAGACAAAGUCCUGUUAGGAUAUUUUAGAUAUCCUGUUUGGACUUUUGUGCAGAAUCCACUGCGCUGUUUCAUGUGCAACUUUAUGGUCAUGUUGGAGGAGGGAGAUUCCAAGAUGUGGGAAGUGUGCAGGAGGGCAUGGGACAGAGGAUUGUGUCCUUUCGGUGGAUAAAGUUGUGCGUGUCAACUGUAGGGUUGCUCAUGUUGCUGGGGAUCGGAAGUGUCCAGUGCGAGAGAGGCAGGUUGAAGUGGCCAGUCAGAAUAGAGCAGAAGGUGACCUUUGCUGAGGCAAUAUAGAAAGUGGAGGAGGAUGGGUCAAGUGUAAGGCAUCCCAAAGAUGUAGUAGAUUUGUGCCAACACAGAGGGAUAGGGAAACGAGUGAGUUAUGCUUCAGUAAGGUUGGCUUCUUAGCGUUCAUAGCAAUGGUUAUCAACUGUACUACAGAAAUGGAACGUAAAUCACAGAGAAUUGAUAUUGUGGUGGCAACUGCAGAAAAGUAUCUGGGUAUACGAGAUUUGACUUCAGAAGAGUUACAGCGUGUGUUGAGGGAUGAUGUCCCGUCCUCCCAGGUCGUUGGCAUGGUGCAGGAGCAGAUGGGGUCUAAGUAGUGGAAUGGGGUAGUGGAUUUUUAAUGAGUGUAGGUGGCAGCUGCAGAGGAGUACGAGAUCUUACUGCAGUAGAGUUUAUGGGGUGAUGAUAUUUUUUUUUGUAUAGUGGUAUAUAGGUGUAGGGUUGGUUGGUGGUGCACAUUUUUCCUUUUAGGAACAAGAAUAAUGAAGGAAAUUUAAUGUAGGUAGGCCUUGCCUGGCCUCACACUUUAGUACAGUAGGUGGCGUUGUAUGCCCCUUUAAGAUAGAUGUGAUCCACCAACCCAAUCCCGAAAGAAGAACAGAGGCUUGUGUGAGACUACGCAAUGCCGAUUCCUGUCGCCCGAUUUGCAAAACGUCUGCUAAAAGACAAACUACCAUAGCCGCAUUCUUUUCAAACGUAAUCCCUUAUGACAAGAAAAGUUUGAGGUGGAAGGAGAUAACGGAAGCAGUGACCUAUUACAUAGGGACAAAUAUGGUCCCAAUCUUUACAGUAGAAAAGCCAGGCUUUAAAAAGCAGGUACCGCGGCUACACUUCUCCGGUGUGGUUACAAUUUGUGAAAGGGUGUCUAGGGUUGUGAUUGGUGGAUAACCUCUGUGCACGUGUUAGUACAGUUGACCACAAAUAUCAGCUGCCAAGACGCAAGUAUUUCCCGGAAGAAGCGCUGCCGCUAUUAUACACAGCUACCCGCAAAAGAGUCGCAGAGAAGCUGGCUAGUGUUUCUUAUUAUUACGGGUGACGUAGUAGCCCGGGGUCUCAAUGACUCUCUGUCAACGUGGAAGAUGAGCAAAGACCGACAGGUGUGCAUGACAACUGACAGCGGGAGCAACAUGAUAAAAACAUUGCGCUUCAACUGGACCCACCUGCAGUGCUUGGGCACAGGCUUCACCUCGCCAUCGAGAAUGGUGGGAAAGACCCACGAGUUGACCGUGCCAUUGGGUUGUGCAAGAAGGUGGUCAGCACCUCUUCCUUCAGCUGGAAGAAGAGGAGAGACUUGUUUCUAGCACAGACUGAGCUCAGUCUACACACUCACCAGCUCAUCAGAGUCCCCAACCAGGUGGGGGUCAAGACAGAAGAUGAUAGAACGAAUCCUGGAACAAGAAAAGGCCAUAGCCCGAGUCCUGGGCUCAGAGAAGAAAAGCAGGCACCUGUUGCCCAACUAUCAAGAUAUUGACGUGUUGGGAGUCCGUGAACAAAGUCAUAGGCCCAUUACAGGAAUUCACCGACGCGCUGUCUGGGGAGAACUACGUUAGCGUCUCCUACCUCAAACCUGUGCUUAAACCUGUUCCAACAGCAGCCUCCUGCAGCCAGAGGAAGGUGAGGGCACGCUCACAAGGAAAAUCAAGAGUGCCACACUACAGUAUCGCAACGACAAGUAAGAAGAUUUGCCAUAGUUGAACUCCCUGAUAUGGCCUCACUGGUUGAUCCCCGGGUUCAGGACAACAUAUAUUGCAGAUGACAAGAUUGAGAGCAUCAAACAAAGAGUUGUUUUGGAGCUGAAGUCUCUGCUAGCUGAGGAAAGCACAUGUCCACCUGGCACAACUGUGCACCAAGAAGAAGAAAGUGAACUGUGUCUAAAAAGAGCUUCUUCAAGAAGACAGCGCCAUCUGGCCCACAGUCAGAGGAGGACAACAUAACAACUGAGCUGUCAAGAUACUUGAUGACCCCUGACACAGACCCAGACAAAGACCCACUUGAGUGGUGGAGGCUCCAUGAGGCCAACUUCCCAAGACAGAGUAAGCUUUCUAAAAAGUACCUGUGCAUUCGUGCUACAAGUGCCCCUUCGGUGUUUGUUUCCAGAAACUUGUGAUGAACAAAGUAAAGGAAGAUAUUUUGUUUGACAGAAUUUUACACUUUGAUUUAUUAUUGUGCAAAUUCGUCUUAGGGAGACAUUUUUUUUUUGAUUUGCAUACAAUAACAGCCUGGCAAGUAGUGUUGUUAUUUUGUCCUGCACAAAUGGGCCUUGAAUAUAAAAUAUAAAUAAUAAUCAAUUAAGUAUUAUGUCUUGGCCUUUCAAUUCUUUAGAGAAAAACAAGAAAUCGAGAUAUUGUGAAUCGUCCAAACCUCUGAAAAAAAUAGUAUAUUUUACUUUUAGGCCAUAUAGCACAGCCCUAAUUGUGCAUGGUGACAUGACAACAAGCAGUUUUUGUAAAUGCUGUCCCACCAAGGACUAACUCAAAGACUAAUGGCCGAAGGGGUCCUUCUCCCUCACACACAGUCAGUGUUAAUAAUAAAUACAAAUACACACACCAAAAAUAUAAAAUGCAACAUGCAACAAUUUCAAAGACUUAAUCGUGUUACAGUUUAUAUAAGGAAAUCAGUCAAUUGAAAUAAAUUAAUUUAAGCCCCAAUCUAUGGAUUUCACAUGACUGGGCAGGGGCCUGGCCCAGCCAAUCAGAAUGACUGAAAGGGCUUUAUUACAGGCAAACACUCCUCAGUUUCAUCAGCUGUCCGGGAGACUGGUCUAAGACGAUCCCGCAGGUGAAGAAGCCGAAUGUGUAGGUCCUCAGCUGGCGUGGUUACACGUGGUCUGCGGUUGAGGCCGGUUGGACGUACUGCUAGGUUCUCUAAAACGACAUUGGAGGCAGCGUACAGUAGAGAAAUCAACAUUUAGAUCUCUGGCAACAGCUCUGGUGGACAUUCCUGCAGUCAGCAUGCCAAUUGCACGCUCCCUCAAAACUUAAGACAUCCGUGGCAUUGUGUUGUGUGACAAAACUGCACAUUUUAGAGUGGCCUUUUACUGUCCCCAGAACAAUGUGCACCUGUGUAAUAAUCAUACUGUUUAAUCAACUUCUUGAUAUGCCACACCUGUCAGGUGGAUGGAUUAUCUUGGCAAAGGAGAAAUGCUCACUAAAAAGGAUAUAAACAAAUUGGUUCAAAAUUUUAGAGAAAUAAGCUUUUUGUGCGUAUGGAACAUCGCUGCGAUCUUUUAUUUCAACUCAUGAAAUAUGGGACCAACACUUUACAUGGUGCAUUUGAUAUUUUUGUUAUAUUUUGGUCCCAUGUUUCAUGAGCUGAAAUAAAUGAUCUCAGAGAUGUUCCACAUGCAAAAGCUUAUUUCUCUCAAAUGUUGUGCACGUACCUGUUAGUGAGCAUUUUUUCCUGCAGUUGUCACAAUGCCACAGAGGUCUCAAGUUGAGGCAGCGUAAUUGAAUGUUAAUUUCUCUACCAUAAGCCUCUCUCCAAAAUUUAGAGAAUUUGCCAGUAUGUACAACCAGCCUCAACCGCAGACCACAUGUAACCACAACUGCCCAGGACCUCCACAUCCGGUGUCGUCACCUGCGGGACGUCACCUGCAGACCACAUGUAACCACAACUGCCCAGGACCUCCACAUCCGGUGUCGUCACCUGCGGGUAUACCACCAGGUAUAAGGUCAUCUUUGGAUUAUGGGUGUAUAUGGAUCUGCAGCCAAAACAGUACUACAGCGCCUGGAAAGGAUACAGUCUAGGACCCUGAGAUGGUGUGUGGGGGCCUUCAAGACGACACCGGUUGAGGCAUUGCGGGUGGAUACAGGGAUGCAAACUAGUCACCUUUCGGCGAAAUUUCAGCGUUUUUAAAUCCAAAAUAGGUAACCAACGUGAUUCGUGUAGAUACGAUGGGGAAAGUUUGGGGGUGGGGCUCUGGAUCACUACUGGCAGUAAGCGAACGAGUGAUGCGGGUUUGGAGCAAUACUGGCUGUACCCAAGGCUCAGCCAAUCGUUCACAUAACAGAAUGCAGCUGAAGAGAGAAGAGAACAAAUUUGCUAGUUACACCACCAGCGCGCGCUCUGGUAAGACAGCGGAGAGUGGAAAGGCAGUUUGUCAGUUAGGCACAGCAGCGUGUCCCCUGAACGAUAACGAAGACGUAGGUGAGAAGGUGAUGAAGCGUACUUCAUGAGUUGUAACCGAAAAAACAACUGGCAUUUGGAAAGUUGAGGUGAGGGAGAAAGUGUUGUGGAACAAGAAUACUUAGCAUUGUUAAGUGUCUUGCUAGCUGGAUCGAAUUCUCCGUUAUCUAGCCAGAUAAAUAUUGAGCAACAUCAGCUAAUGAUCAAAUAAUUUAGUUUAUGGUGUGAAAUUUAGCUGUCUAAUCAAGUCAGACAGAUAGCUAGCUAGCUAACGUUACAACAUCAUAUUAGCUAACGUAAGUAACCUAACCAAUUCGCUAUAAUAUUACCUGUUAUACGAAUUCUUGCCGUUCCUAAAGUUAUAAUGUUAGUUUCUCACUGGACCCUGGCAAUCUGUGUGAAAUGUUAACUAGCUAACGAACUAAAUAGUAUCUGUGAGCUAAUGUUUUCCCUCUACAGCAUGUGGUUAUUUUUCAGAAUGAGAGAAUUAGGUGAAAAUGAGGCAUUGCUUGUGUAAACAAGUGGAUUCAGGGAUGAAGUGUAGCUGGAGCUGGUUUAAACUGGAUGCCGCUAUAGAGGUGAAAGAAACACCACACACACUUUCCCUCUUUCUCACUAAGGUGGAUAAAAAGGAGUAUGCCAGAUGUACUCUGCCUGAAAGAGAUCAAUUACACCAACAAAGGGUCUCAUGCUCUGCUGGCACAUUGUAGAACAGAAUUACACAGGCAGAAAGUGUACAAUGUAAUAAUGUGCAGUGUACAGUGGCAAGAAAACGUAUGUGACCUGGAUUUCUGCACAAAUGUGUCAUAAAAUGUGAUCUGAUCUUCAUCUAAGUCACAAGAAUAGACAAACACGGUGUGCUUAAACUAAUAUCACACAUUGUAUUGUUCUUGUCUAUAUGGAAUACAUAAUUUAAACAUUCACAGUGUAGGUUGGAAGAAGUAUGUGAACUCCUAGGCUAAUGACUUCUCCAAAAGCUAAUUGGAGUCAGGUGUCAGCAAACCUGGAGUCCAAUCAAUGAGACGAGAUUGGAGAUGUUGGUUAGAGCUGCCCUGCACAAUAAAAAAAUACUCACAACAUUUGAGUUUGCUAUUCACAAAAAGCAUUGCCUGAUGUGAACCAUGCCUCGAACAAAAGAGAUCUCAGAAGACCUAAGAUUAAGAAUUGUUGACUUGCAUAAAGCUGGAAAGGGUUACAAAAAUAUCUCUAAAAGCCUUGAUGUUCAUCAGUCCACGGUAUGACAAAUUGUCUAUCAAUUGGAGAAAAUGCAGCACUGUUGCUACUCUCCCUAGGUGUGGCCGUCCUGCAAAGAUGACUGCAAGAGCACAGUGCAGAAUUCUCACUGAGGUUAAGAAGAAUCCUAGAAUGUCAGUUAGAGACUUACAAAAAUCUCUGGAACAUGCUAACAUCUCUGUUGACGAGUCUACGAUACAUAAAACACUAAACAAGAAUGGUGUUCAUGGGAGGACACCACAGAAGCCACUGCUGUCCCAAAAAACUUUGCUGCAUGUCUGAAGUUGGCAAAAGAGCACCAGGUUGUUCCAAAGCACUACUGGAAAAAUGUUCUGUGGAAAGAUGAAACUAUAGUUUAGUUGUUUGGAAGGAACACACAACACUACGUGUAGAAUAAAAAUGCUCAGCACACCAACAUCAAAACCUCAUCCCAACUGUAAAGUAUGGUGGAGGGAGCAUCAUGGUCUGGGGCUGCGGAAAAAUGAAUUCCAAAGUUUAUCAAGACAUUUUGCAGAAGAAUAGAAGGCUGUCUGUCAAUUGAAGCUCAACAGAAGUUGGGUGAUACAACAGGGCAAUGACCCAAAACACAGAGGUAAAUCAACAACAAAAUGGCUUCAACAUCAAAAUGGCUUCAACAGAAGUGGCCUAGUCAGAGUCCUGACCUCAACCCGAUUGAGAUGCUGUGGAAUGACCUCAAGAGAGCAGUUCACACCAGACAUUCCAAGAAUAUUGCUGAACUGAAACAGUUUUGUAAAGAGGAAUGGUCCAAAAUUCCUCCUGGUCGUUGUGCAGGUCUGAUCCGCAACUACAGAAAAUAUUUGGUUGAGGUUAUUGCUGCCAAAGGAGGGUAAACCAGUUCACAUACUUGUUCUACCAUGCACUGUGAAUGUUUACAUGGUGUGUUCAAUAAAGACAUACAAAUGCAUAA